rnacentral:snRNA from 1 species
GGAUGUGAGGGCAGUCUGGCUGCCAUAUCUGGCUGCCAUGCCGUUGGUUGACAGGGUAAACUUGACUUAUCUGGCUGGCUAGGUGGGUGUUGCUUUCCUCUCUCGCUGUUCCAGUGUGUCCAUCCUGAAGCCAUGUGCUUAGCUGAAAAAUCACCUUCUCCGAACAGAGGAAGACUGGUCUCCGGUCAAGGGUAGCUUCAUUCCCCUGCUAAACCUCCAAACCUUAUGUUGGAUUUCUGUGAUGCCCCUUUGGUUGAGCACAGAAAGCCUAAAGAACAAGGUCAACCAAGCAUGAAAAGAGACAUAGAUCCAAGUGACUCUU